rnacentral:snRNA from 1 species
GGAUGUGAGGGCGAUCUGGCUGCGACAUCUGUCACCCCAUUGAUCGCCAGGGUUGAUUCGGCUGAUCUGGCUGGCUAGGCGGGUGUCCCCUUCCUCCCUCACCGCUCCAUGUGCGUCCCUCCCGAAGCUGCGCGCUCGGUCUUCGGUCAAGGGUAUACGAGUAGCUGCGCUCCCCUGCUAGAACCUCCAAACAAGCUCUCAAGGUCCAUUUGUAGGAGAACGUAGGGUAGUCAAGCUUCCAAGACUCCAGACACAUCCAAAUGAGGCGCUGCAUGUGGCAGUCUGCCUUUCUUU